UACAGGUAUACAGAUAGUGUACACUGUACAUGAAGCUGGCAGGAGAUAGCAGAGCUAUGUACAGGGAUGAGAAGAAGUUAGAGGCUGGACUAGAGAAAGCACUCGCAAG